GCCAGGUGUAGUGGAGGACGCCUGUAAUCCCAGCAGCUUGGAAGGCUGAGACAGGAGAAUCGCAAGUUCAAAACCAGCCUCAGCAAUGGAGAGGUGCUAAACAACUCGUGAGACCUUGUCUCUA
rnacentral:sRNA from 1 species